rnacentral:rRNA from 1 species
GAUGAACGCUGGCGGCGUGCCUAAUACAUGCAAGUCGAGCGAACGGACGAGAAGCUUGCUUCUCUGAUGUUAGCGGCGGACGGGUGAGUAACACGUGGAUAACCUACCUAUAAGACUGGGAUAACUUCGGGAAACCGGAGCUAAUACCGGAUGAUAUUUUGAACCGCAUGGUUCAAUAGUGAAAGACGGUCUUGCUGUCACUUAUAGAUGGAUCCGCGCUGCAUUAGCUAGUUGGUAAGGUAACGGCUUACCAAGGCAACGAUGCAUAGCCGACCUGAGAGGGUGAUCGGCCACACUGGAACUGAGACACGGUCCAGACUCCUACGGGAGGCAGCAGUAGGGAAUCUUCCGCAAUGGGCGAAGGCUUGACGGAGCAACGCCGCGUGAGUGAUGAAGGUCUUCGGAUCGUAAAACUCUGUUAUUAGGGAAGAACAUAUGUGUAAGUAACUGUGCACAUCUUGACGGUACCUAAUCAGAAAGCCACGGCUAACUACGUG